CCGUUCUUACAUUAUAGUGUCAACUAUGUAGGAAAAGGCAUUGACCAUUUUGAGUACAGACACAAUUCACUCAUAGCUUUUGUUGUUAGAAAUUGUUCUGAAGGAGGAAAUGUUGGUCAGGAUAUGUAAGUGCCUCUUCUUUUUAACUGGACAGCCACCAGAGGUAGGCAAAAUAUGUGUAUUUUUUUCUUCCUAAUACUACACUGUAUUACACAGAUUCUCAACCAGCAUGCCAGGUCAUCGUGGGAUGUCACGACAGCCUUCAAAGGGUGCUGCAGGGAGCAUAAACAGAUAAGCAGGUAAAAGCAGGCUCCAGGUCCAGGUGUAAGAAGAAAAGCAAAUGAGGGCAGGCUUAUGCUUCCCCUGCCUAGCAACUUCCUUGCCUCCACUACCUGUCUCCACUGCAAUGAGUAUUAUAUAUUAUGCUGUAUUUUAAGUUGUACAAACGUGUAUAAAGAAUAGAUAAACGUAUUGGAUAUUGUAACGGGAGUCAAAUCCCUAUAAGACCAGGACCUCUGGGGCUAGCAAGAACCAGGUGUGGUCCAGUGGGCCACAUGACCCGGAAAGGAGAAUGCCCUGGACAGAUUAAAGCUUGCCCAGCAUAUAUAGAAAGGUUAGUAGGGUCCUGACUAUGGAGGAGGCUGGGUCAGCUGCCUGGGGGACAGAAGGCACUGCUAGACCCCAGAGAAGGGGACAUUUUGUUGAACGUUUCCUUUUGUCAUUGGUUUGUUAAACUGUGGGUCCAUAGGGCAGACCCUUGAGAUGGAACCCAGGGAGCCAUCUGCUAAUAAGACCCCUGCCAGGCAGUGAGACCCUGCCUUAGGAAUCCCCUCCUCUUCUGCUUCAAACAACAGGAAGACACCUCACCGAUUAAGACCUUUUUCAACAAGGCAUGGAAGUCCUCCAAUAGGACUGGGAGGUCUCUGAGCAGGAAGUAGUGACAGGACUGAGUAUAACAGGAUGAAGGGACCUCCUUCCUCCCAGGUCCUGUACACACACACACACAACACACGCACUCACGCAUGCAUGCAUGCACACAGUUUUUUUAUUAUAUAUAAUUUUAUUGCUCAUUUUACUGUAUUGUUUUUGUGAAAGCUGUAAAAAAACUACUACUACUACUACUGGAAAACCAUUAAAGAAUAUAUUAAACAUGUAGCAACUGUAAUCACUUGCUUAAGGGUACUCCAAACACUAUUUUCAGAACUAUUGACUUAAAAGGAAAGAAUAUUAAAAUGUAUUACUCUUUAAAACUCAUUUUUUGAUACUUUCCAUGUGUGUGAUUAUAUGUGUAUGCAUAUACACUGGUUUAGUCAGCCAAAGAAAGUCAUAGUAAGAGUUGCCCUUCCUUGUUAAUAAAGGAGAUUCAUGGCAAGCCAGAUCAUGACUGUGAAAUAAAUAUCUUGUAAUAUGUGUUUUCCUAAUGAUUUGUAUUUAACUGUAAAAAAUAAGAUUUGCACACUGUAAAACACAUUUUUAGCAGAUUCAGAACUAGACAAAUGGUAACUUGAUUUGGAAUGUAUCACUUUUAUUUGAGAGGGAGAAAGAGAGAGGAAAAUCCAAGUUUUUCUCUCACCAUUCAGGAAAAAAACUUCAAAAUUUGCUCAUGUGAACCUGGUUUUCAUCUUUGAAAAUGGAGAAAAUGUACAGCUAGCAAAAUCUCAGGCUUUAACACAGCAGAGACCACAAUGAAUACUAAAACGCUAUCCAUUACUGUGACUGUUACUGUUAUUGUUACUGUUAUUUUCCAGUAUGAAAUGGAAACAUACUAUUUCUUAAAUACAAGUCAUUUUGCUACAUUUGGUGUUAGGCUCAUUCUUUAAACCUGCUGAAAACACAUUUUUAUUUCCCUAAGCAUAAACUCGUGUUUCCAUGUGUUUGUGAUUUUAGUCUUCAUUUGAUAUACAAUAGACUGUUGGAAAGAGAUAUGUGGUUUGAACAUGUGAACUUGGCAUGCCAUGUAGGCAGGUACCAAACAAAAGUGUUUGCUAUUAGUCUUUUUAGAUGGUAUAUUUAAUGUCCUCCUUUUGUUUCCCUCUCUAAUACUUUCUUGACAGUAUUUUGACGUCUUUUGACAGCCUUAGUUUUUCAUAGCACCUUAUUAUUCAGAUCCAGUUGUAUUCCUGUAUUAUUCAUUACUCAUUAUUCAGAUCUCGUUAUCCUGCAUAUUCCUUCACAUGUCCUUUUAAUCUUGAAUAAUGAGUGAAAAUAAUAAUAGGUUUCUAGAUAUUGAUUUUGGCAUGCGGUCUUCCUGAUAACUGUCAUCUUACAAAAUACAGUGAACCAGUGAGGCCAGUUUCAGGGAGUCACACAUUUCAAUUAUUCACUUCAACACAGCAAAAAUCACAAUGUAUUAAUACUUUUCUGUGGUAGAUGGUGGAUUUUACUUUUUUUUGGCACAUUAGAGCUGUAACUCUUAAAAAGUCUGGCAAAAUAAAGGAGUGUCACCAGAUGGAGUCCUCAGGUAGCAUACUGAAAUCAAUGUGGUUUAUUAAUACAAAAGUGUUUGGGUAGGCUG